AGUGAACGCUGGCGGUAGGCCUAACACAUGCAAGUCGAACGGCAGCACAGUAAGAGCUUGCUCUUACGGGUGGCGAGUGGCGGACGGGUGAGGAAUACAUCGGAAUCUACUUUUUCGUGGGGGAUAACGUAGGGAAACUUACGCUAAUACCGCAUACGACCUACGGGUGAAAGCAGGGGAUCUUCGGACCUUGCGCGAUUAAAUGAGCCGAUGUCGGAUUAGCUAGUUGGCGGGGUAAAGGCCCACCAAGGCGACGAUCCGUAGCUGGUCUGAGAGGAUGAUCAGCCACACGGGAACUGAGACACGGUCCAGACUCCUACGGGAGGCAGCAGUGGGGAAUAUUGGACAAUGGGCGCAAGCCUGAUCCAGCCAUACCGCGUGGGUGAAGAAGGCCUUCGGGUUGUAAAGCCCUUUUGUUGGGAAAGAAAAGCAGCAGGUUAAUACCCCGCUGUUCUGACGGUACCCAAAGAAUAAGCACCGGCUAACUUCUU
rnacentral:rRNA from 1 species